GACGAACGCUGGCGGCGUGCCUAACACAUGCAAGUCGAGCGGAGGAUUCGAGAUGUUUACAUCGAAGGGUCCUUAGCGGCGGACGGGUGAGUAACACGUGGGUAACCUGCCCUGCAGAUGGGGAUAACUCCGGGAAACCGGGCUAAUACCGAAUAAUCAUUUCCUCCGCAUGGAGGAACUCUGAAAGACGGUUUCGGCUGUCACUGCAGGAUGGGCCCGCGGCGCAUUAGCUAGUUGGUGGGGUAAUGGCCUACCAAGGCGACGAUGCGUAGCCGACCUGAGAGGGUGAUCGGCCACACUGGGACUGAGACACGGCCCAGACUCCUACGGGUGGCUG
rnacentral:rRNA from 1 species